rnacentral:rRNA from 1 species
ACGAACGCUGGCGGCGUGCCUCAUACAUGCAAGUCGUGCGGACCUUGUUGAAAGCUUGCUUUUAAAAGGUUAGCGGCGGACGGGUGAGUAACACGUGGGCAACCUGCCUGUAAGACUGGGAUAACGCCGGGAAACCGGGGCUAAUACCAGAUCGUUUUUUCCUCCGCAUGGAGGAAAAAGGAAAGGCGGCUUCGGCUGCCACUUACAGAUGGGCCCGCGGCGCAUUAGCUAGUUGGCGGGGUAAUGGCCCACCAAGGCAACGAUGCGUAGCCGACCUGAGAGGGUGAUCGGCCACAUUGGGACUGAGACACGGCCCAAACUCCUACGGGAGGCAGCAGUAGGGAAUCUUCCGCAAUGGACGAAAGUCUGACGGAGCAACGCCGCGUGAGUGAAGAAGGCCUUCGGGUCGUAAAACUCUGUUGCCGGGGAAGAACAAGUGCCGUUCGAACAGGGCGGCGCCUUGACGGUACCCGGCCAGAAAGCCACGGCUAACUACGUG